rfam:Camelus ferus unplaced genomic scaffold scaffold794, whole genome shotgun sequence.
GAGGGUAUAGCUCAGUGGGAGAGCGCAUGCUUAGCAUGGACAAGGUCCUGGGUUCAAUUCACAGUACCUCCA